AAGCCGCUGCCCACAUCAAGUACCUUGAUAAGUUUAAGAAGAUCGUCGAGCAACUCUUCAGAUUCUACAACUACAGUGCUGUACGAACAGCAUCCUUGAGGGAAAUUCAGACUGUCCUGAAUGAGCCAGCUGUGAAGAUCACUGAGGCCAAAGAUGUUAGGUGGUUGUCUCAUGAUAAGGCCGUGCGAGCACUGAGGCGUUGUCUUCCAGCAGUAAUUACCAGCCUUGAAUUUGAAGCCGCAAAAGGUGAUGCUCAGGCCCAGGGAUUGUCUUGCUUUGUACAACACUACGAGUUUGUUGCUGCUCUGCUCAUGAUGUCAGAUGUUCUGCCAGUACUCUCAGCUUUGUCACGUGCCUUUCAGACCUGAGAUGGUACAUACAGUCUGGUUGGUAGCCUAGUGUUGGGAACCAUUUCCACUGUGAAGACUCUGAAGGAAAACCCGGGGGAGCACUUUCGCAGCCUGUCCACUGUGAUGUCAGACCUUGUUGAUCAGCCAUUUAAGUUCCAUCCCCCUACAGACAGAGAGACUGAGCACUUCAUGAAGAAUGUAAGUUGAUAGUAAUGAAAUAUAUUGUGCUUUUUUCAGGGUGUUGAGAGACCUAUGCUGGACUUUUGUUGGGGCGUAAAAUCUGCCCUUUUAAGGCAACAUUGCAGCAUUUUUAAAGCAAACAGUUUUAGGUAAAUGUUAAAUGAAUUUGUUAUACAGUGGCUGUUGUACUGAAGAGGUUCACUGAUGGGAUAAAAAAAGUGUAAUUUAAUAUUGCUUUACUCUGUUUUAAGUGUACAACCCUUUCUUUGACUCUAUUGUACAAAAUCUUGAGAAGAGGUUUCCAAAUAUCGCGGAGUUAGAGGCAUUCUCUGUAUUCAGUCCACAGCUAUGGCCAGAAGACAGUGAAGAGUUUGCCGAGUAUGAGAAAGAUGAGAUUCAGAUGCUGUCUGUCCGAUUCCAGUCAUCAUUAAAUUGCCAAGCUGAUGUACAGUCCGAAUUCCAGUUGUUGAAGAACACUGUCCGCAAUGACCAGAAACUUGUGCAAGAACCAGCCAGCAAGAUCAUGGAGACAGUAGCAGGGCCUCUUUCAGAAACACUUCCCAACCUGGCCAAACUGGCAUCUGUUGGUCUCAUUAUCCCAACCUCUACUGCUGAUUGUGAAAGUGGCUUCUCAGCACUGAAGAGAAUCAAAACUGACAUAAGGAAUCGUAUGAAGGACUGUACACUGAACUCUCUUCUGCAGAUAGCAGUCGAAGGCCCAGAGAUCAUCAAUUUUCCAAACACCACUGCAGUGGACAAAUGGGCUGGUAGAAAAAACAGAAGACUAAAACUUUAAACAACAAAUUUGUGCAGUGAUAAGAUUGUAUUGUUUAUGUACAAUGAAUAUUGAGCAGUGAACAUUUUCAGAAGCUUAAAACGGAUAGGUUAACAUUGUCAUUACUAAGCAGAUAAACUCCAAAGGAAUAGAAGACUGAAGCUUUAAACAGCAAAUAUGUGCAAUGUUAAAAUUGUGUUGUUUCAUGUAAUAUAAAUAGUAAGCAUUGUCAGAAACUUAAGUUUACAUUGUCUUCAGCAAUUAACUACAGAGGAACACUUUCUCUAUUGUUCUUGUUGUGUAUGAAAAUGAUGCUUACUAAACAUUGAAAAAAUCUCUGUGUUUUUCACUCUCAAAUGCACCAGAAUGCACCAAAAAUUAGUUGUAAUAACACAAAAUUUCUGGGGGGUAGUCCCCCAUACCCCCCACA